rnacentral:rRNA from 1 species
AAAUUGAAGAGUUUGAUCAUGGCUCAGAUUGAACGCUGGCGGCAGGCCUAACACAUGCAAGUCGAACGGUAACAGAAAGCAGCUUGCUGCUUUGCUGACGAGUGGCGGACGGGUGAGUAAUGUCUGGGAAACUGCCUGAUGGAGGGGGAUAACUACUGGAAACGGUAGCUAAUACCGCAUAAUGUCGCAAGACCAAAGAGGGGGACCUUCGGGCCUCUUGCCAUCGGAUGUGCCCAGAUGGGAUUAGCUGGUAGGUGGGGUAACGGCUCACC